AAAAGUGAAAUGAAAAUAACAAAUCCCCCUUUUGGUACCCAUAAAUUGCUUCAUUUGUGCAUAGCUUCAUCAUCUUCAACAUUUAACUUCAACCACACACACAUAAGGGGAGAAAAAAUGUAUGCACCUGCACAGUACCAAGAACCAAGUUAUGUGGAACACGUUCGCAGACGCCACCAAGAAAAGGGAUUCCUUUACGCUUGUUUCUUUGCCUUGUGCUGCUGCUUCUGCUGCUAUGAAACCUGUGAGUGCUGUUUGGAUGUGUUAUGUUGCUGCUGCCCCUAGAUAUAAGGGUCACCAUCCCCUGUAAAAGUCCUAUGAAAAUAUUAUCAUCAUAUACUUCCUUCUCUGUGUAUCUAUCUAAAAGUAAUAAUUACAUAGAUGAACAUGAGACUUUCUGAUAUGAGUGUGUUACUUUUGACUUAUGGUUGUGAUCAAAAUUACUUUAUGAUCAAGGAGGCAUAGACCUAACAAGUACCAUUUAUUUUCUCUGUUUGUUGAAUAUUUUAAUUUGGCGCAAGUUACUCUGGUGAUAAUGUAAUGGUUAUAAAUGAAGAAUAAACUAUGAAUAUUUUGGGGA